rnacentral:rRNA from 1 species
UACGGAGGAUCCGAGCGUUAUCCGGAUUUAUUGGGUUUAAAGGGUGCGUAGGCGGAAAUGUAAGUCAGUGGUGAAAUCCUGCAGCUUAACUGUAGAAUAGCCGUUGAAACUGUGUUUCUUGAGUACAUUUGAGGUAGGCGGAAUGUGGUGUGUAGCGGUGAAAUGCAUAGAUAUACCACAGAACACCGAUUGCGAAGGCAGCUUACUAAACUGUCACUGACGCUGAUGCACGAAAGCGUGGGGAUCAAACAGGAUUAGA